CCCUUAGAUGUUCUGGGCCGCACGCGCGCUACACUGACGAUGGCAACGAGUUUUUCCUUCGCCGAAAGGUGUGGGUAAUCUUUUGAAACAUCGUCGUGCUGGGGAUAGAUCAUUGCAAUUUUUGAUCUUGAACGAUGAAUUCCUAGUAAGCGCGAGUCAUCAGCUCGCGUUGAUUACGUCCCUGCCCUUUGUACACACCGCCCGUCGCUACUACCGAUUGAAUGGUUUAGUGAGGACUCCUGAUUGGCGCCGCCGCCCCGGCAACGGAGCAGCGGACUGCCGAAAAGUUGUUCAAACUUGAUCAUUUAGAGGAAGUAAAAGUCGUAACA
rnacentral:rRNA from 1 species